rnacentral:rRNA from 1 species
GAUGAACGCUGGCGGCGUGCCUAAUACAUGCAAGUCGAACGCAUAGCGAAAGUUUCUUUCACCUUUCAUGUUAGUGGCGACCUGUUUAGUAACACGUUGACAACCUUCCUCAUUUCUGGUGAUAACAUUUGGAAACAGAUGCUAAUACCGAAUAAAUCUUAUUGUCUCUUGACACAAAGUUAAUAUGCGCUUCUGCGUCUCUUAUAGAUGUUUCAGCGUUGCUUUAGUUAGUUGGUGGGGUAAAGGCCUACCAAGACAAUGAUGCAUAGCCGAGUUGAGAGAAGGAUAGGACACAUUGGGACUGAGACACGGACCAAAAGCCUACGGGAGGCUGCAGUAGGGAAUAUGCCACAAUGGGCGAAAGCAUGAUGGAGCAACGCCGCGUGUGUGAUGAAGGAUUUCGGGUCGUAAAGAACUGUUGUAUGGGAAGAAAAGAUAGAAUAGGAAAUGAUGAUAGUUUGACGGUACCAUACCAGAAAGGGACGGCUAAAUACGUG